rnacentral:rRNA from 1 species
UACGGGGGGAGCAAGCGUUGUUCGGAUUUACUGGGCGUAAAGGGCGCGUAGGCGGCCACCGCAAGUCGACUGUGAAAUCUCCGGGCUUAACUCGGAAAGGUCAGCCGAUACUGCGGGGCUAGAGUGCAGAAGGGGCAACUGGAAUUCUCGGUGUAGCGGUGAAAUGCGUAGAGAUCGGGAGGAACACCUGUGGCGAAGGCGGCCGACUGGGCCGACCCUGACGCUGAGGCGCGAAAGCUAGGGUAGCAAACGGG